rnacentral:rRNA from 1 species
GAUGAACGCUGGCGGCGUGCUUAACACAUGCAAGUCGAGCGAGAAGUUUUGAAAAGAUUCUUCGGAUGAAAUUUAAAAUGGAAAGCGGCGGACGGGUGAGUAACGCGUAGGCAACCUGCCCCAUACAAAGGGAUAGUAUUUGGAAACGAAUAUUAAUACCUUAUGAAACUUAACUAGUGCAUGCUAGGUAGGUCAAAGAUUUAUCGGUAUGGGAUGGGCCUGCGUCUGAUUAGCUAGUUGGUGAGGUAACGGCUCACCAAGGCGACGAUCAGUAGCCGACCUGAGAGGGUGAACGGCCACAUUGGAACUGAGACACGGUCCAAACUCCUACGGGAGGCAGCAGUGGGGAAUAUUGCACAAUGGGGGAAACCCUGAUGCAGCAACGCCGCGUGAACGAUGAAGGCCUUUGGGUCGUAAAGUUCUGUUCUAGGUGAUGAAAACUGACAGUAACCUAGGAGAAAGCCCCGGCUAACUCCGUG